UGAGUAAUGUCUGGGAAACUGCCUGAUGGAGGGGGAUAACUACUGGAAACGGUAGCUAAUACCGCAUAACGUCUUCGGACCAAAGUGGGGGACCUUCGGGCCUCAUGCCAUCAGAUGUGCCCAGAUGGGAUUAGCUAGUAGGUGGGGUAACGGCUCACCUAGGCGACGAUCCCUAGCUGGUCUGAGAGGAUGACCAGCCACACUGGAACUGAGACACGGUCCAGACUCCUACGGGAGGCAGCAGUGGGGAAUAUUGCACAAUGGGCGCAAGCCUGAUGCAGCCAUGCCGCGUGUAUGAAGAAGGCCUUCGGGUUGUAAAGUACUUUCAGCGAGGAGGAAGGCGUUAAGGUUAAUAACCUUAGCGAUUGACGUUACUCGCAGAAGAAGCACCGGCUAACUCCGUGCCAGCAGCCGCGGUAAUACGGAGGGUGCAAGCGUUAAUCGGAAUUACUGGGCGUAAAGCGCACGCAGGCGGUCUGUCAAGUCGGAUGUGAAAUCCCCGGG
rnacentral:rRNA from 1 species